AUCCGGGGGUUCGGCGUGGAAGGGCCAUCGCUCAACGGAUAAAAGCUACCCUGGGGAUAACAGGCUUAUCUCCCCCAAGAGUCCACAUCGACGGGGAGGUUUGGCACCUCGAUGUCGGCUCAUCACAUCCUGGGGCUGUAGUAGGUCCCAAGGGUUGGGCUGUUCGCCCAUUAAAGUGGUACGCGAGCUGGGUUCAGAACGUCGUGAGACAGUUCGGUCCCUAUCCGUCGCAGGCGUAGGAAAUUUGAGAAGACCUGUCCUUAGUACGAGAGGACCGGGAUGGACGUACCUCUGGUGUACCAGUUGUCCUGCCAAGGGCAUGGCUGGGUAGCUAUGUACGGAAUGGAUAAGCGCUGAAAGCAUCUAAGCGCGAAGCCAACUUCAAGAUAAGAUUUCCCACCGCAAGGGUAAGACCCCAGAAAGACUAUCUGGUUGAUAGGUCGAAGGUGUAAGUGCAGCAAUGUAUUUAGCUUAUCGAUACUAAUAGGUCGAGGACUUGACCAAU
rnacentral:rRNA from 1 species